GGGCCCGUAGCUCAGCUUGGAUGGAGAGGUACAUUAACCCUGGAACAGCGGCCUCCUAAGCCGUUGGUCGUGGGUUCAAAUCCCACCGGGCCCGCCA
rnacentral:tRNA from 1 species